UACGUAGGGAGCAAGCGUUGUCCGGAUUUAUUGGGCGUAAAGCGCACGCAGGCGGUUUAGUCAGUCUCUACUGACAGUGUCCGGCUCAACCGGGCAAGUGGUAGGGAAACUGCUAAACUUGAGGGCUUCAGAGGGAUGGGGAACUCCAGGUGGAGUGGUGAAAUGCGUAGAUAUCUGGAAGAACACCAAUGGCGAAGGCAGCUUGCUACAGGAAUAUUGACACUGAGGCACGAAAGCGUGGGGAGCAAACAGG
rnacentral:rRNA from 1 species